GUUGUGAGAUGUUGGGUUAAGUCCCGCAACGAGCGCAACCCCUACUGUUAGUUGCCAUCAGGUGAAGCUGGGCACUCUAACGGAACCGCCGGUGACAAAUCGGAGGAAGGUGGGGAUGACGUCAAGUCCUCAUGGCCCUUAUGUCUUGGGCUACACACGUGCUACAAUGGGCUGUACAGAGGGUAGCAAUCCCGCGAGGGGGAGCCAAUCCCAAAAAGCAGUCCGUAGUUCAGAUUGGAGUCUGCAACUCGACUCCAUGAAGUCGGAAUCGCUA
rnacentral:rRNA from 1 species